AGUGGUUUGGCUCAGUGGAUAGAGCGUUGGCCUGCAGAGCAAAGGGCCCAGGUUCGAUUCUGGUUCGAUUC
rnacentral:tRNA from 1 species